rnacentral:rRNA from 1 species
ACAAGCGGAGGAGCAUGUGGUUUAAUUCGAUGAUACGCGAGGAACCUUACCUGGGCUCGAACGUAAGAUGACUGUAGGUGAAAGCUUACAUCUCUUCGGAGCAUUUUACGAGGUGCUGCAUGGUUGUCGUCAGCUCGUGCCGUGAGGUGUCGGGUUAAGUCCCAUAACGAGCGCAACCCUACCUUUAGUUGCCAUCAGGUAAUGCUGGGGACUCUAAAGGAACUGCCUACGCAAGUAGUGAGGAAGCGGGGAUGACGUCAAAUCAGCACGGCCCUUACGUCCAGGGCUACACACGUGCUACAAUGGCCGAUACAGAGGGCAGCUACCUGGUGGCAGGAUGCAAAUCUCCAAAGUCGGUCUCAGUUCGGAUCGGAGUCUGCAACCCGACUCCGUGAAGUUGGAUUCGCUAGUAAUCGCGCAUCAGCCAUGGCGCGGUGAAUACGUUCCCGGGCCUU